rnacentral:lncRNA from 1 species
GAGAGAGAGAGGGUACAGCAGGGGUCUGUAUUAGUGUAGGAGAGAGAGAGAGAGAGUACAGCAGGGGUCUGUAUUAGUGGAGGAGAGAGAGAGAGUACAGCAGGGGUCUGUAUUAGUGGAGGAGAGAGAGAGGGUACAGCAGUGGUCUGUAUUUGUGGAGGAGAGAGAGAGGGUACAGCAGGGGUCUGUAUUAGUGGAGGAGAGAGAGAGAGGGUACAGCAGGGGUCUGUAUUAGUGGAGGAGAGAGAGAGUGUACAGCAGGGGUCUGUAUUAGUGGAGGAGAGAGAGAGAGAGAGAGAGGGUACAGCAGGGGUCUGUAUUAGUGGAGGAGAGAGAGAGAGAGAGAGAGAGAGAGAGGUACAGCAGGGUUCUGUAUUAGUGGAGGAGAGAGAGAGGGUACAGCAGGGAUCUGUAUUAGUGGAGAAGAGAGAGAGGGUACAGCAGGGGUCUCUAUUAGUGGAGGAGAGAGAGAGAGAGUACAGCAGGUGGCUGUAUUAGUGGAGGAGAGAGAGAGAGAGGGUACAGCAGGGGUCUGUAUUAGUGGAGGAGAGAGAGAGAGAGUACAGCAGGGGUCUGUAUUAGUGGAGGAGAGAGAGAGGGUACAGCAGGGGUUUGUAUUAGUGGAGGAGAGAGAGAGAGUACAGCAGGGGUCUGUAUUAGUGGAGGAGAGAGAGAGGGUACAGCAGGGGUCUGUAUUAGUGGAGGAGAGAGAGAGGGUACAGCAGGGGUCUGUAUUAGUGGAGGAGAGAGAGAGGGUACAGCAGGGAUCUGUAUUAGUGGAGAAGAGAGAGAGGGUACAGCAGGGGUCUGUAUUAGUGGAGGAGAGAGAGAGAGAGUACAGCAGGUGGCUGUAUUAGUGGAGGAGAGAGAG